rfam:Glossina pallidipes unplaced genomic scaffold Scaffold2, whole genome shotgun sequence.
AGGUCCCACAAUGGGAAGCGUGCUAAUGAUAACCAGCCUCCGCGAAGUAACACCUAACGGCGGUCCCGCGGGGGAGAGUAGUAGAAGAAGUGUGUGGGGGGUAGUUUUCAGUACGUAAGCGCCACGGAUAGCGAAUCGUUCAUGCUGCUACUAAGAAUCAGCAGUAUCUUUUGAGAUUUUCUACCUUCAACUUGC